rnacentral:rRNA from 1 species
GCAGUCGAGCGGUAGCACAGAGAGCUUGCUCUCGGGUGACGAGCGGCGGACGGGUGAGUAAUGUCUGGGAAACUGCCUGAUGGAGGGGGAUAACUACUGGAAACGGUAGCUAAUACCGCAUAAUGUCGCAAGACCAAAGUGGGGGACCUUCGGGCCUCAUGCCAUCAGAUGUGCCCAGAUGGGAUUAGCUAGUAGGUGGGGUAACGGCUCACCUAGGCGACGAUCCCUAGCUGGUCUGAGAGGAUGACCAGCCACACUGGAACUGAGACACGGUCCAGACUCCUACGGGAGGCAGCAGUGGGGAAUAUUGCACAAUGGGCGCAAGCCUGAUGCAGCCAUGCCGCGUGUGUGAAGAAGGCCUUCGGGUUGUAAAGCACUUUCAGCGGGGAGGAAGGCGAUAAGGUUAAUAACCUUGUCGAUUGACGUUACCCGCAGAAGAAGCACCGGCUAACUCCGUGCCAGCAGCCGCGGUAAUACGGAGGGUGCAAGCGUUAAUCGGAAUUACUGGGCGUAAAGCGCACGCAGGCGGUCUGUCAAGUCGGAUGUGAAAUCCCCGGGCUCAACCUGGGAACUGCAUUCGAAACUGGCAGGCUAGAGUCUUGUAGAGGGGGGUAGAAUUCCAGGUGUAGCGGUGAAAUGCGUAGAGAUCUGGAGGAAUACCGGUGGCGAAGGCGGCCCCCUGGACAAAGACUGACGCUCAGGUGCGAAAGCGUGGGGAGCAAACAGGAUUAGAUACCCUGGUAGUCCACGCCGUAAACGAUGUCGAUUUGGAGGUUGUGCCCUUGAGGCGUGGCUUCCGGAGCUAACGCGUUAAAUCGACCGCCUGGGGAGUACGGCCGCAAGGUUAAAACUCAAAUGAAUUGACGGGGGCCCGCACAAGCGGUGGAGCAUGUGGUUUAAUUCGAUGCAACGCGAAGAACCUUACCUGGUCUUGACAUCCACAGAACUUAGCAGAGAUGCUUUGGUGCCUUCGGGAACUGUGAGACAGGUGCUGCAUGGCUGUCGUCAGCUCGUGUUGUGAAAUGUUGGGUUAAGUCCCGCAACGAGCGCAACCCUUAUCCUUUGUUGCCAGCGGUUAGGCCGGGAACUCAAAGGAGACUGCCAGUGAUAAACUGGAGGAAGGUGGGGAUGACGUCAAGUCAUCAUGGCCCUUACGACCAGGGCUACACACGUGCUACAAUGGCAUAUACAAAGAGAAGCGACCUCGCGAGAGCAAGCGGACCUCAUAAAGUAUGUCGUAGUCCGGAUUGGAGUCUGCAACUCGACUCCAUGAAGUCGGAAUCGCUAGUAAUCGUAGAUCAGAAUGCUACGGUGAAUACGUUCCCGGGCCUUGUACACACCGCCCGUCACACCAUGGGAGUGGGUUGCAAAAGAAGUAGGUAGCUUAACCUUCGGGAGGGCGCU